rnacentral:rRNA from 1 species
UGGGGAAUAUUGGGCAAUGGGCGAAAGCCUUACCCAGCAACGCCGCGUGAGGGAAGAAGGUUUUCGGAUUGUAAACCUCUGUCCUGGGGGACGAAGGAAGUGACGGUACCCCGGGGGGAAGCCCGGCUAACUACGUGCCAGCAGCCGCGGUAAUACGUAGGGGGCGAGCGUUGUCCGGAAUUAUUGGGCGUAAAGGGCGCGUAGACGGCCGAGUAAGUUAUAGGUGAAAGCCCAUCUUUCAAGGAUGGAAUUGCCUGUAAUACUGCCUGGCUUGAGUGCAGGAGAGGGAAGCGGAAUUCCUAGUGUAGCGGUGAAAUGCGUAGAUAUUAGGAGGAACACCAGUGGCGAAGGCGGCUUUCUGGACUGUAACUGACGUUGAGGCGCGAAAGCGUGGGGAGCAAACAGGAUUAGAUACC